UAUAUAUAAGUGUAUUUUGCACUAAAAUUUUUGAAGUUUUAGGAGAUAAUUAUUAUUUAUCAUGUAUAU
rnacentral:tRNA from 1 species